rnacentral:tRNA from 1 species
GCGGGUAUGCCGGAGCGGUCAAACGGGCUGGACUUAAGAUCCAGUGACUUAGUGUCUGCGCAGGUUCGAUUCCUGUUACCCGCA